UGGGGAAUAUUGCACAAUGGGCGCAAGCCUGAUGCAGCCAUGCCGCGUGUAUGAAGAAGGCCUUCGGGUUGUAAAGUACUUUCAGCGGGGAGGAAGGCGAUAAGGUUAAUAACCUUGUCGAUUGACGUUACCCGCAGAAGAAGCACCGGCUAACUCCGUGCCAGCCGCCGCGGUAAUACGGAGGGUGCAAUCGUUAAUCGGAAUUACUGGGCGUAAAGCGCACGCAGGCGGUCUGUCAAGUCGGAUGUGAAAUCCCCGGGCUCAACCUGGGAACUGCAUUCGAAACUGGCAGGCUAGAGUCUUGUAGAGGGGGGUAGAAUUCCAGGUGUAGCGGUGAAAUGCGUAGAGAUCUGGAGGAAUACCGGUGGCGAAGGCGGCCCCCUGGACAAAGACUGACGCUCAGGUGCGAAAGCGUGGGGAGCAAACA
rnacentral:rRNA from 1 species